GGACGGGUGAGUAAUGCCUAGGAAAUUGCCUUGAUGUGGGGGAUAACCAUUGGAAACGAUGGCUAAUACCGCAUAAUGCCUACGGGCCAAAGAGGGGGACCUUCGGGCCUCUCGCGUCAAGAUAUGCCUAGGUGGGAUUAGCUAGUUGGUGAGGUAAUGGCUCACCAAGGCGACGAUCCCUAGCUGGUCUGAGAGGAUGAUCAGCCACACUGGAACUGAGACACGGUCCAGACUCCUACGGGAGGCAGCAGUGGGGAAUAUUGCACAAUGGGCGAAAGCCUGAUGCAGCCAUGCCGCGUGUAUGAAGAAGGCCUUCGGGUUGUAAAGUACUUUCAGUUGUGAGGAAGGGGGUGUCGUUAAUAGCGGCAUCUCUUGACGUUAGCAACAGAAGAAGCACCGGCUAACUCCGUGCCAGCAGCCGCGGUAAUACGGAGGGNGCGAGCGUUAAUCGGAAUUACUGGGCGUAAAGCGCAUGCAGGUGGUUCAUUAAGUCNGAUGUGAAAGCCCGGGGCUCAACCUCGGAACUGCAUUUGAAACUGGUGAACUANAGUACUG
rnacentral:rRNA from 1 species